rnacentral:lncRNA from 1 species
GGUGUACUUGCUGCAGCAUAUGGAGGACUAUUGCUACCAGUUCAUCUAGCCUCCUGUGAACCCGUCGCAUCAUCAAUUGCAACACUCAACCAGCUGCCUAUUGAGAGAACCAAGUUAAGACCAUGGUUAGAGUCUCUGACGUUGCUCGUUAGAGCAAUGCUGGAUGUAACCAAAUGUAUAAUUAAAUUUGAAAGACUUCCAAUUAAACAAGUGCAGCUAGACAACAACAUUGUGGAUAAAACCUUGUUUAAUGUUUAUUUGGCUACUUACCGGGUAGUCAAAAGUGUGCUUGCAUGCCUGCAGCAAAUCCCUUAUUUCAAGCAAACCCAGCAGGUGCAUUUUAUCCACCCUUCUUUUAUCUCCCUUGAAAAAUUAAAUUGGAAGAGCCGCAGAGAAAUAGUUUAGCAUAUUAGUAGUCAACAUGUAGGUUUCUCAUGGCAAGGAAUUCUCUGAUAUACUUAGGCAACAGAAACAAGAAAAUCAGCCCAUGAACUUUCAACGGAAUCAAGAAGAGCAGCAGGAGAACUUUCUAGUUUGGGAUAUCAGUUGCUCAACUUACAUACCCGCCUUAACAAGCAGGUAGACGAUUGCAGCACACAAAUAGGUAACUUUUUCAAAUAUUCUGAUGUCCAUUUCCAAAAGCAGAGCUUAUAUUAAAAGCAAAACUCAUCUCUGAUGAUGCUUCUCCGUUGUUAUGUCUACAGAGGAAGAAAUCAAUCGAAAGCUUAGAAACAUUAACACAGGCACCCAUCAAGACAACCAAGACGUACUCCACCUACUUUUUUCUCUACAAGAUGAUUUGCCACUUCAACAAUACUCCAGACAAGUACAAAGAACUAUCCUUUUUCUUUUUUCAUGUUCCUUUCUUGUUUCUUUCUUUUUCCUGUCUCUUCUAUUACUUUACAUAAAAAUGAGGUACAAAGAAUGUUCUUUAUCAUCCAACGACAGAUAG